rnacentral:misc_RNA from 1 species
GUAUUGUAUUGCAUUAAAUGCGACAUACAUUCCAUGAGACUUUGUCACAGUGUGUGUGUGUAAAAAAAAAAACAUAGAUCCACAGUGAGGGGACCAGAGUCCCCCACACCACAGAACUACAGAGGGUGCACAGGUGUGAGUGGAUGUGUGAACAGAGUGUGCACAUGCCCUCUCUUGAGGACCAGCAACAACUCGUGUUGACGGUUCGGUAAUGAUCCUUCCGCAGGUUCACCUACGGAAA